rnacentral:lncRNA from 1 species
GUUGGGGGAAAAACUUAGAUCAGUUUGCUUUUUUAUUGCCUGUCACAGAAUGUCAGACAUAAAGAUGCUAAUCCUGUGAAAGAAGGUUAAGUCUUUUGCAGAAAGUUACAUUUUUCAGAAGAAACUUCAUUUACCCUUAGAUGCCUUAUGACCAAAUUUUUCUCUCUCAUAUUUCUGUUUGUUUUAUAAUGGUCAUAUGAUUUUGGAGUAAAGAUUGCAUUCAAAUGCAAUCAUAACCCUAUGAUACUGACUCAAUAUUUAAAUCUUCCUUUGACACAAAAAAUAGUGCAUUGAUCAUCACAUUCUUUAAAUCCUAUUCAUUAACAUUAAGGAAAUUUAUGCUCAGAUAUUCAAGUCACAAAAUGAUGUUAUACUUGUCAAGAAAAUUACAUAAUUUUUGCAAGGUGCAGGGAUCAAAUAUCAUGUUUGUCUGGAAGGGUUCAACAGUGACCUUGAACUCAUUAUCAUGUGAUGAUGACCAUUUCGCGGAUUUCUGUAUAUAUGCAAUAUGUUGACAAGUCCUUGUAUGUAAUGAUAUCUGUCGGAAAGAGUUCUUCUGGUCUUGACCCCAUUUGUAUUGAUCAUUGGUCCAGCUUUUGUGAGCAGGUCUGAUAGUGAUAUUUAUAUUUAGUAUAUGGAAUUGUUGUAAUUACUGCAAGCAUUAAAUAUAAGACCAACUAUAUUGGGUAUAUGCAAUGAUUCAGAUGAAUUGUCGGUUUGUCAUGGUGAUUGACGUCUUUGUUGUCAAUUCGUCAAGCUUUUGAUUUUUGCUGUCACGAUUAUUACCGUUUUUCCGAAUACAACUAGUCUGACAAAAUUAAUCUGAUCAUGACUUCAUUUUCAUCUUGAUAAGUUUCCUUGAUAAGAGAGCUACCAUUUGACUUUUAAGGGGGGGGGGGGGGGGGGUGGGGGAGCUAGGAUGAAAAAGGUUCUGCCUUUUAAUUUUCAAUCUAUUUGGUACUGCUUUAUUUUCUUUUUUUUUUUUGGGGGGGGGGGGGGGGGGGGGAUUUUGUUUUACAUAAAUUGUAAUCCUGCCUAUUUUUUUUCACUUAAAACUACCGUCCUGCCUAUUUUUUUUUUCUUCAAAUUCCACCCUUGUCCCCUCCCCCUCCCAAUAAAAAUGGUAGUUCCCUAACGUCUGCAACCAUACCCGAGUUAUGAGUUGUACGUGCAUGUCCGUUUGUCGUAGUUCAUCUAACCAUUUCAUUUUGGUUAGUUAAUCUGCUCAGAACACAUGAGAAGGUUUGGU